UAGGGAAUCUUCCGCAAUGGGCGAAAGCCUGACGGAGCAACGCCGCGUGAGUGAUGAAGGUCUUCGGAUCGUAAAACUCUGUUAUUAGGGAAGAACAAAUGUGUAAGUAACUAUGCACGUCUUGACGGUACCUAAUCAGAAAGCCACGGCUAACUACGUGCCAGCAGCCGCGGUAAUACGUAGGUGGCAAGCGUUAUCCGGUAUUAUUGGGCGUAAAGCGCGCGUAGGCGGUUUUUUAAGUCUGAUGUGAAAGCCCACGGCUCAACCGUGGAGGGUCAUUGGAAACUGGAAAACUUGAGUGCAGAAGGGGAAAGUGGAAUUCCAUGUGUAGCGGUGAAAUGCGCAGAGAUAUGGAGGAACACCAUUGGCGAAGGCGACUUUCUGGUCUGUAACUGACGCUGAUGUGCGAAAGCGUGGGGAUCAAACAGG
rnacentral:rRNA from 1 species